GACGAACGCUGGCGGCGUGGAUUAGGCAUGCAAGUCGAACGGUAUCAUCCUUUCGGGGGUGAGAGAGUGGCGAACUGGUGAGUAACACGUAGGUUAUCUACCCUCAAGACGGGGACAACCCAGGGAAACUUGGGCUAAUACCGGAUGUGAGCAACUUUUAGUUGUUUGAAAGGUGGCGUAAGCUGUCGCUUGGGGAUGAGCCUGCGUCCUAUUAGUUAGUUGGUGAGGUAACGGCUCACCUAGGCAAUGAUAGGUAGGCGGCCUUAACGGGUGGUCGCCCACACUGGGAUUGAGAUACGGCCCAGACUCCUACGGGAGGCAGCAGUCGAGAAUAGUCUACAAUGGUCGGAAGACUGAUAGUGCGACGCCGCGUGAACGAUGAAUCCUUCGGGUGUAAAGUUCUUUUAUAUGUGAGCAGUGCUUCUUAUAUUAACAGUAUGGGGAGAGAGAUAUUAGCAUAUGAAUAAGCAACGGCUAACUCCGUGCCAGCAGCCGCGGUAAACUCG
rnacentral:rRNA from 1 species